UACGGGGGGGGGCAAGCGUUGCUCGGAAUUACUGGGCGUAAAGGGUUCGUAGGCGGUGCGGAAAGUUGGGAGUGAAAUCUCUGGGCUUAACCCAGAGGCUGCUUUCAAAACUGCCGUGCUCGAGUGCGAGAGAGGUCAGUGGAAUUGCAGGUGUAGCGGUGAAAUGCGUAGAUAUCGUAAGGAAGACCAGUGGCGAAGGCGGGUCUCUGGACAGUUCCUGACGCUGAGGCACGAAGGUCAGGGGAGCAAACGGG
rnacentral:rRNA from 1 species